rnacentral:lncRNA from 1 species
AAUUGUUUUUUUUUCAAGUUGGUACUCAUACAUAGUCAAACUUUAAAUCUAUUUAAAAAAAGCUUAACUCAUAAAUUAGUAUCUAAAUUAUACUUUUUUUUCUCAAAUUGAUACCUACAUUUUUUUUUUGCCAUAAGUGGUACCUAAAUUAUUCUUCCAUCACUCAUUUUACACCAAUUUGUUAUAUCCAUUGAAAAAGUUUUCAUUG